UCCCAGCAACAGACAGCACUCAGAGAAUCUCCAGAGAGUGAAGGGCCCCAAAGCUUUGACUCUCCUUGCUUCUCGGUGAAUCCCACUCUGAGAUAUCACUGGAGGACGGACAGAGAGGAAAGACAUUUGGAACAGGAAAUAAUGACAAGGAAAAAAGUCUGGAGGAUGGAGCAAGAUGGCAGAAUAGAAGGUUCCACUGAUCAUCCCCCUGCAAGAACACCAAUUUAAAAACUAUCUACACAAAAAACACCUUCUCAAGAACCAAAACUCAGAUAUAGAAGACACUAUCCUAACAUUUGUAUGAAAGCACAAAACACCCAGAAGAGCCAAAAUUAUUCUAAGCAAAACCACCAACCAACCAACCCACCAAAACUGGAGGAAUCCCAUUGCCUGACUUCAAAUUAUACUACAACAGAGCUACCAUAACCAAAACAGCAUGGUUCUGGCAUAAACACAGAUACAUAGACCAAUAAAACCGAAUACUCAGAAACAAAUCCACAUACCUACAGUGAACUCAUUUUCUACAAAGGUGCAAGGAACAUACACCAGGGAAAAGAUCGUCUCUUCAAUAAGCUGUACUGGGAAAAGUGGAUAUCUAUAUGAAGAAAAAUGAAACUAGUCCCGUCUCUCGCCAUAUACAAAGAUAUAGUCAAAAUGGACUAAAGACUUUAAGAACUCAAACUAUGAAACUACCAGAAGAAAACGUUGGAGAAAAUCUCCAGGAUAUUUGUCUGGGCAAAUAUUUCUUGAGUAAUACUCCAUAACACAGGCAACCAAAGCAAACAUGGACAAAGGAGAGCACAUUAUGUUAAAAAGCUUCUGCACAGUGAAGGAAAUAAAUCAACGAAGAGACAUCCCACAAAAUGGAAGAAAAUGUUUUCAAACUACACACCUGACAAGGAAUUAAUAACCACAAUACAUAGGGAGCUCAAAUAAAUCUAUAGGAAAAAAUCUAAUAAUCUGAUUUAUAUAUUGAUAAAAGAUUGAAUAGACAUUUCUCAAAAGACAACAUACAAAUCAAAAACAGGCACAUAAAAAGUGCUCAACAUUGAUCAGAGAAAUGCUGAUCAAAGCUACAAUGAGAUACCAUCUCAUCCCAAUUAAAAUGGCUCUUAUACAAAAGACAUGCAAAAAUAAAUGCUGGUGAGGACAUGGAGAAAAGGGAACCCUCAUAAACUCUGUGGGAAUGUGAAGUUGCAUUUAAAGUUGUAUUUAAAGGUGCAACAGAGAACAGUUUGGAGGUUCCUCGAAAAAACUAAGAAUAGAGCUAACGUAUCAUCCAGCAAUCCCGCUGCUGGGUAUAUACCCAAAAGAAAAGAAAUCAAUAUACUGAAAAGACAUCUACACUUCCAUGUUUGUUGCAGCUCUGUUCACAAUAGCUAAAAUUUGGAAGCAACCUAUGUGUCCAUCAACAGAUGAAUGGGUAAAGAAAAUGUGGUACUUAUACAUGAUAGGUACUAUAUAGCCACAAAACAUAAUGAGAUCCUGUCAUUUGCAACAACAUAGAUGGAACUGGAGGCCAUUAUGCUAAGUCAAAUAAGCCAGGCACAGAAAGACAAACAUUGCAUGUUCUCAGUUAUUUCUGGCACCUUAAAAUCGAAACAACUGGACUCAUGGAGAUAUAAAUUAGAAAUAUGCUUAGCAGAUACUGGGAAGGGUACUGGGGGUGGUGAAGGGGUAGGUGGGGAUGGUUAAUGGAUACAACAAAUUUGUUAGAAUGAAUAAGUACUAGCAUAAUAGACUGACAUCGUCAAUAACAAUUUAAUUGUACACUUAAAAAUAACUAAAAGGGUAUAAUAAAAUUAUAACACAAAAGAUAAAUGCUUGAGAGGAUACUCCAUUUUUCAUCAUGCAUUUAUUAUGCAUUGCAUUCCUGUAUCAAAACAUCUCAUGUACCCCAUAAAUGUAUACACCUAUGUCACAACAAAAAUAAAAUUUAGAAAAGUCUGUACCAAUGUGACCAUGAUAAGCCUAAUUAUAUUUUCAAUCCAUGAUUGGUUAAGUCCAUGAUUGGUUGAAUCCUCAGAUGCAGAAUCCAACUCAUAAGCCCAACUGCAGAAGCAGAUACUGACACCAGGAGACAGAAUGAGCAUAUUCUGUCCUUGGCUGGUACCCACCCUGUCUUCCAACAUUGCUUCUUCCAAUAUCUCAGAGUAUCUUUAAACCACACACUUUCAUAUUCCUUCAUAACUUCUCGUAUCCUGCUUCUUUGCUGUGAAUUUACCAAAUGCAUUUCUAUAUAAACUACCAGUCAUAAAUGCUCAGAUAAUAUGACAAUUUCUUUAUGAAGGCGUGCUCUACUCAAUCAGUGAGAACUCUCACACCUCAGACAUCACAAUCCUUCUUUUGUACUCUUCACACAAGCUUCAACUCACUCUUGUAUUUUAAUUAUUCCUAAGUUUCAAUGAAAAUUCCACAUGAAUAUGUAUAAUUAAAAAUUAAUGGGCUAUCCAAAUGCUGUAUAGGUAUGAAAGUUAGAAAUCUAAAUAAGCAUUUAAAAAUGGCAGGUGGAGGGUUAUUAAUAUGUAAAAUUGCAAAAUUCUAGAUACAUUUUAGGUACUGCUAUGAAAUCCUUAAUGAGCUGUACACUUAUUUUUUUUAUGGAUAUACUUCAAUAGUUGUACAAGCUUCAUGUAUAGCCACAAAUAUAAACAUAUUCUAGAACAUAAAAUGACAAAAUGGUCAACAAAGUUAUCCAUCAUCUUAGGUCCUUGAGGGACUUUUGAUGAGUGGACCCCGAGUACCAUCUGACAGAUUUACAAUGUGAACAUCACAUAAACAAUGUUUUUAUGCAGCUUGAGAUGUUACUAUGGCAUUACCUUGUGCAUUCUGACUGAUCCAUAAUUAUAUUUAAAAUUUGCAACAGUGUUCCCUAUUUUAUGUUCAUAACAUAUCAUCAUCUGGCAUGACCACAUCGUAUGUUUUACCUAUUCACUGUUUGGGUUUUUGUUAUUGCACAAGGAGACCAAAAUAUAUUUAUUUUCUUCUCUGUUGUUUUCUAACAUUAGCACUAUGCCUGGCAUAUAUCACUUUUGCACCAACAUAAUAGUAAAAAUUGAUUAUUUGUUAAAUAAAUGAAGAAGGAAAAAUGAUGGUUAGAGAGAUUAGUGCAACUCCUUUAGAGAUGAAUUCAGUAAUAUCUCAUAACAUUGAAGAUGUUCUUUCUUCACUACCUAAGACUUCCAAGGAGAUUAUACAAGGAUAGAUACUCUUACAUUAUAAAGCAUGAAAAAGUGGUAAACCUAAAUAUUAAUAUAAAGAAAAUGCACACAUGAUCAAUAUUAAUACCAAUUUAUUGUGAACAUUUCAAUUAGUAAAGUUGAAGGAAAAUAUGUUGCAGAAUGAUCAGUGUGUUACCAUUUAACAAAUACAUCCUACUAAAAUAUUACAUUUGGACACAUAUCUGCAAUAAAAAUAUUAAAAAUUGAUAGGGAAGAUACACACCUGUUUAAAAAAAUUGGUCUGAGGACACUAAGAGAGGGAAUUCAAGAGAGCACAGAUAAGACUUUGAUGUAUCUGUAAAAUAUAUACCGCCCUGUUUUUGAGUCAGGGUCUUGCUUUGUCAACCCAGGCUGGAGUGCAGUUUCGCAAUUGUGGCUCACUGCAGCUUCAAUCUCCCGGGCUCAAGCGAUCCUCUCACCUCAGCCUCCUGAGUAGCUAGGACUAUAGACACGUGCCACUAUGCCUCCCUGAUUUUUUAAAAUUUAAUUUUUGGAGAGAUGAGGUCUCACUAUGUUACCCAGGCUGGUCUCAAAUACCCAGGCUAAAGCAAUCCUUCCACCUCAGCCUUCCAAAGUGUUGGGAUUAUAGGCAUAAGCUACUGCCCCUGGAUGAUAUAUAUAUGAUAUUUAUUUAUAUUUUUUAUAUCAAUAGGUUUUUGGGGAACCGGUGGUGUUUGGUUACAUUAAUAAGUUCUUUCAUGGCAAUUUGAGAAUUUGGUGCACUCAUCACCCAAGUAGUGUACACUGUACCUGAUGUGUAGUCUUUUAUCCCUCACCUGCUUCCACCCUUUCCCCCAAGUCCCCAAAGUCUAUUGUAUCAUUAUUAUCCCUUUGCAUCCUCAUAGCUUACCUCCCACGUGUGAGUGAGAACAUACAAUGUUUGGUUUUUCAUUCCUGAGUUGCUUCACUUAGAAUAACGGUCUCUAAUUCCAUCCAGUUUGCUGCAAAUGCCAUUAUUUCAUUCCUUUUCAUGGUUAAGUA